rnacentral:rRNA from 2 species
UCCUUGUCGGCUAAAUACUGACCUGCACGAAAGGAGUAAUUAUCUCUUAACUGUCUCGACAAUAGACUCGGUGAAAUUAUGGUUCCGGCGAAGACGCCGGAGACCCGCAUCUAGACGAAAAGUCCCCGUGGAGCUUUACUAUAACUUCAUAUUGGAGUUUGAUUUAACAUGUGUAGGAUAGGUGGGAGACGUUGAUGCUUGAACGCUAGUUUAAGAGUAGUCGCCGUUGAAAUACCACCCUUGUUACAUUGAACUUCUAACUUGUUCCCGUUAUCCGGGAAGAGGACAGNGUGUGGUGGGUAGUUUGACUGGGGCGGUCNCCUCCUA